CUCAAAGUGAGCACAGGUUCUUUGUGUACUUGCUAUUUCUCAUAAGCCUCAGUUUUUCAGCUAAACCAGGACCUCUGCUGCCUUCUCACAUCAAGCUUCCAACAGGAGACUCUCAGGUUCCUUUGAAACUCCUGAGUGGACACCAUCUGGUCCAGAUUUUCCCAGUCAUGGAAGGAUUUGAAAGCAGGAACAUUCUUGAGGGUUC
rnacentral:lncRNA from 1 species